AGGCGGUUGGCUCAGGGGUAGAGCGCUUCCUUGACACGGAAGAGGUCAUGGGUUCAAAUCCCGUACUGCCUA
rnacentral:tRNA from 1 species